GGGAGUAGGAGGAUCGCUGACAGAGUUCGACUCUGAGGAAAGUCCCCUCUCCACAGUGCAGACGGCUUACAGAAGUAAGAGAACAGAAAUGGUCAGGUCAAUGCAGCAGAAACGAACGAUGCAAGGUGUGUACAAUGAUGUUGAAAGACGGAGAUUGCCUUGUGGUCGAUGAGACGAGCAACCCCGUUGGAGCAAGUCCAAACAGUCCCGCCGAAGCGGCACGCCGAGGGACAGGUAGGAUGCUAAGUUGAAUGCGGUCACCGAAAGGGAACAGAAAGGGGCUUACUCCCUACUCCC
rnacentral:RNase_P_RNA from 10 species